rnacentral:rRNA from 1 species
UACGGAGGGUGCGAGCGUUAAUCGGAAUUACUGGGCGUAAAGCGCACGUAGGCGGUCAGGCAAGUCGGGUGUGAAAGCCCUGGGCUCAACCUGGGAAUUGCAUUCGAAACCAUCUGGCUAGAGUCCGGGAGAGGAGAGUGGAAUUCCUGGUGUAGCGGUGAAAUGCGCAGAUAUCAGGAAGAACACCCGUGGCGAAAGCGGCUCUCUGGAACGGUACUGACGCUGAGACGCGAAAGCGUGGGGAGCGAACAGG